GAGAGUGCAAGAAAGAGAGAAAGAGCACCGGGUCUCCGAGACUGACUGGGUAAAGAAAGUUAUCCUGAAACCAGAGACCUGGUCAGAAUUCUUACUUCAGAAUGUAUUCUGCUAGAGAUACCCAAGGACCAGGUAACAGAUUUAAACCAGGAAACAGAUUGAGUCUACAACCCAAGAAUUCAGAACACAAAGAUCAAAUAUUGCAAAGUACCUCGUUCGACGCCUCUAACAAUGCCGCCAAACCAUGGCUCUGAACGGAAAAGCUGACAUCGGCGAGAUGAAUUUUGAGCACCAAGGGCAGGAAUAAAUAUCGCUCUAACAGUU